rnacentral:lncRNA from 1 species
ACGGACAUUGACACGUCGACACCGAUAAUAUGAUUAAAAAGGCAUAAUUCAGUGUAAUCAUAAGUGUCAGUGUUGUGUCGUUGUCCGACACCAGGACACGCCUAAUCUGAGGAGUGUUCGUGCUUCAUAGGCACAACACACACACACAUAAAAAUUCAAUUUUACAAAUUUACCCUACAGUUUCAAGAUCAAGGAAAGAUCCUUCAGAUCAACACUUUCUUUUGAUUCAUAUCGAGUCAGCUAUCAGACCUUAAAUAGCAAUUAUCUGCAACACAUAAUUCUCACGGCACAAAACAAACAACAGUCAGAAAUUUUAGAGGGGAUAUAAUAGUUGAGUUCCUAUACUCAUCAUAAACAAACUUCUUCACAAUUGCACAUCAUUUCCUACAAUUGAUGCAAUCUAAUAACCAGAAAGCAAACAUUACCUUAACAAUUAAUGCAUAAUGCAUGAAUAAUAUUCUUUCCAAACAAAGAAUCAGACACAUAAUCAACAAAGAGAAACUGAUUAAAACUGAAAGCAAUCAAGAUUUAAUAAAACAAAUGUUGAUGAAAAGUGUUACUAGCUGCACUGCACCUCAAGAUAAGGUAUUCAUCUCAUGUUGCAACAUGCAAACCCCAAAAUAACCUCAAUAAUUUAUUCAGUGUUCAACACACUUACUAAAAUACUCUCUUUGGUCUCAUAAUAUGGACCAGAUACAUCAAUUAUUCAAUACACUUGAAAACAGAAUCUUUGCUUAUAUAUGAGACUCGAGGGAGUACAAAUUUAAAAUCUUAAAAACCAACACAUGCCAAAAUUAAUUAACAAAUAAUUAAACAAUAAAAGGUGUUAACUACUACCUAGUACCUACAACUUGCAAUAGGGAACUUCUUUUAUGUAACUUCAAAAAUAAGGUAAGUGAUCCUAACUGAAUAGCACUAACAGAAAAAGUAUCCUUAUCAAUUUUUGGUGAGUUGUGAUUGAUGAUUGGUAAAGGGGCACUAUCAUUGAAAAUUAAAGGGCUCUUACAAAUUGAAUGAUAGUAACACUAGUUGAUAAUGAUACUCUGCAAUCUUCAUCAACAAGAAAACAUUUUUAGUUCAUUUUCUUUAUUAUUGAAAACAUUCUUAGUGGAAGAACAAUGGAACAACAUGACCCUGAAAAAGAAACCAAUAGAUUAUUUAUUCUUCAAGCACCCAUUUGCAAGCUAUGUAAAAUAUUAAACUAAAAAAUUAUUAAAAGCAUAGAAAGCAACAAUUUUUAAGCAUUGAGAAUCUAAAGUAUUCUGAAGCAAAUCAAAUUGGGAAUUGGGUUUUGUAGAAAUAAACAAAUCCAAGUCAAAUUGAAAUGGAACUUACAAAUUAUACAAUAUGGUUAUUUAAUAGAAUCGAAUCUGAUACAUUAAAGAGUGAAUCUUGGAGGAAAUGAGAAAGAAAGAACCUGAAAAUCAGAAGACGGUAAUGACAUUUUCAAUUAGCAAAGGUAGGAGCAUCCGCAGGCCACAGCACUCGAGUUUGGUCAAGUCUGGCCUACGAAUUGUC